rnacentral:rRNA from 1 species
GACGAACGCUGGCGGCGUGCUUAACACAUGCAAGUCGAACGGUGAAGCGCCUUCCUUUUUGGUGGGUGUGGAUGAGUGGCGAACGGGUGAGUAACACGUGAGUAACCUGCCCCCUUCUUCUGGAUAACCGCAUGAAAGUGUGGCUAAUACGGGAUAUUCUGGGUCUGUCGCAUGAUGGGUCUGGGAAAGAUAUUGUUUCGGUGGGGGAUGGGCUCGCGGCCUAUCAGCUUGUUGGUGGGGUGAUGGCCUACCAAGGCGGUGACGGGUAGCCGGCCUGAGAGGGUGGACGGUCACACUGGGACUGAGACACGGCCCAGACUCCUACGGGAGGCAGCAGUGAGGAAUAUUGCACAAUGGGCGCAAGCCUGAUGCAGCGACGCCGCGUGAGGGAUGGAGGCCUUCGGGUGGGGAACCUCUUUCGCCAGUGAAGCAGGCCUGCCUCGUUUGUGGGUGGGUUGACGGUAGCUGGAUAAGAAGCGCCGGCAAACUACGU